ACUCCUACGGGAGGCAGCAGUGGGGAAUAUUGCGCAAUGGGGGGAACCCUGACGCAGCCAUGCCGCGUGAAUGAAGAAGGCCUCCGGGUUGUAAAGUUCUUUCGGUAAUGAGGAAGGGGUAUUAUUGAAUAGAUAAUAUCAUUGACGUUAAUUACAGAAGAAGCACCGGCUAACUCCGUGCCAGCAGCCGCGGUA
rnacentral:rRNA from 1 species